rnacentral:rRNA from 1 species
CAUCCAGACUCCUACGGGAGGCAGCAGUGGGGGAUAUUGCACAAUGGGGGAAACCCUGAUGCAGCGACGCCGCGUGGGUGAAGAAGCGCCUCGGCGCGUAAAGCCCUGUCAGCAGGGAAGAAAAUGACGGUACCUGAGUAAGAAGCCCCGGCUAACUACGUGCCAGCAGCCGCGGUAAUACGUAGGGGGCAAGCGUUAUCCGGAUUCACUGGGUGUAAAGGGAGCGUAGACGGCGACGCAAGUCUGGAGUGAAAGCCCGGGGCCCAACCCCGGGACUGCUCUGGAAACUGCGUCGCUGGAGUACGGGAGGGGCAGGCGGAAUUCCUGGUGUAGCGGUGAAAUGCGUAGAUAUCAGGAGGAACACCGGUGGCGAAGGCGGCCUGCUGGACUGCAACUGACGUUGAGGCCCGAAAGCGUGGGGAGCAAACAGGAUUAGAUACCCCAGUA